UGAGGAAUAUUGGUCAAUGGGCGCAAGCCUGAACCAGCCAUCCCGCGUGCAGGAAGACGGCCCUAUGGGUUGUAAACUGCUUUUCCAGGGAGAGAAACUUGCGUACGCGUUGCGCAAUUGACGGUACCCUGGGAAUAAGCAUCGGCUAACUCCGUGCCAGCAGCCGCGGUAAUACGGAGGAUGCGAGCGUUAUCCGGAUUUAUUGGGUUUAAAGGGUGCGUAGGUGGUGAUUUAAGUCAGCGGUGAAAGUUUGUGGCUCAACCAUAAAAUUGCCGUUGAAACUGGGUUACUUGAGUGUGUUUGAGGUAGGCGGAAUGCGUGGUGUAGCGGUGAAAUGCAUAGAUAUCACGCAGAACUCCGAUUGCGAAGGCAGCUUACUAAACCAUAACUGACACUGAAGCACGAAAGCGUGGGGAUCAAACA
rnacentral:rRNA from 1 species